AACGAACGCUGGUGGCAUGCCUAAUACAUGCUAGUCGAACGAUCACUUCGGUGGUAGUGGCGCACGGGUGCGUAACGCGUGGGAAUCUGCCCUUGGGUUCGGAAUAACAUCUGGAAACGGAUGCUAAUACCGGAUGAUGACGUAAGUCCAAAGAUUUAUCGCCCAGGGAUGAGCCCGCGUAGGGUUAGCUAGUUGGUGGGGUAAAGGCCUACCAAGGCGACGAUCCUUAGCUGGGCUGAGAGGAUGAUCAGCCACACUGGGACUGAGACACGGCCCAGACUCCUACGGAAGGCAGAAGUAGGGAAUAUUGGACAAUGGGGGCAACCCUGAUCCAGCAAUGCCGCGUGAGUGAUGAAGGCCUUAGGAUUGUAAAGCUCUUUUACCCGGGAUGAUAAUGACAGUACCGGGAGAAUAAGCCCCGGCUAACUCCGUGCCAGCAGCCGCCGUAA
rnacentral:rRNA from 1 species